GGGUUGUGAGGUUAAGCGACUAAGCGUACACGGUGGAUGCCCUGGCAGUCAGAGGCGAUGAAGGACGUGCUAAUCUGCGAAAAGCGUCGGUAAGGUGAUAUGAACCGUUAUAACCGGCGAUGUCCGAAUGGGGAAACCCAGUGCAAUUCGUUGCACUAUCGUUAACUGAAUACAUAGGUUAACGAGGCGAACCGGGGGAACUGAAACAUCUAAGUACCCCGAGGAAAAGAAAUCAACCGAGAUUCCCCCAGUAGCGGCGAGCGAACGGGGAGCAGCCCAGAGUCUGAAUCAGCUUGUGUGUUAGUGGAACGGUCUGGAAAGUCCGACGGUACAGGGUGAUAGUCCCGUACACCAAAAUGCACAGGUUGUGAACUCGAAGAGUAGGGCGGGACACGUGGUAUCCUGUCUGAAUAUNNGGGGGGACCAUCCUNCCAAGGCUAAAUACUCCUGACUGACCGAUAGUGAACCAGUACCGUGAGGGAAAGGCGAAAAGAACCCCGGCGAGGGGAGUGAAAAAGAACCUGAAACCGUGUACGUACAAGCAGUGGGAGCACCUUCGGGUGUGACUGCGUACCUUUUGUAUAAUGGGUCAGCGACUUAUAUUCUGUAGCAAGGUUAACCGUAUAGGGGAGCCGCAGGGAAACCGNAGNUCUUAACUGGGCGUUAAGUUGCAGGGUAUAGNACCCGAAACCCGGUGAUCUAGCCAUGGGCAGGUUGAAGGUUGGGUAACACUAACUNGGAGGACCGAACCGACUAAUGUUGAAAAAUUAGNCGGAUGACUUGUGGCUGGGGGUGAAAGGCCAAUCAAACCGGGAGAUAGCUGGUUCUCCCCGAAAGCUAUUUAGGUAGCGCCUCGUGAACUCAUCUUCGGGGGUAGAGCACUGUUUCGGCUAGGGGGUCAUCCCGACUUACCAACCCGAUGCAAACUACGAAUACCGAAGAAUGUUAUCACGGGAGACACACGGCGGGUGCUAACGUCCGUCGUGAAGAGGGAAACAACCCAGACCGCCAGCUAAGGUCCCAAAGUCAUGGUUAAGUGGGAAACGANUGUGGGAAGGCACAGNACAGCCAGGAUGUUGGCUUAGAANGCAGCCAUCAUUUAAAGAAAGCGUAAUAGCUCACUGGUCGAGUCGGCCUGCGCGGAAGAUGUAACGGGGCUAAACCAUGCACCGAAGCUGCGGCAGCGACACUAUGUGUUGUUGGGUAGGGGAGCGUUCUGUAAGCCUGCGAAGGUGUGCUGUGAGGCAUGCUGGAGGUAUCAGAAGUGCGAAUGCUGACAUAAGUAACGAUAAAGCGGGUGAAAAGCCCGCUCGCCGGAAGACCAAGGGUUCCUGUCCAACGUUAAUCGGGGCAGGGUGAGUCGACCCCUAAGGCGAGGCCGAAAGGCGUAGUCGAUGGGAAACAGGUUAAUAUUCCUGUACUUGGUGUUACUGCGAANNGGGGGGACGGAGAAGGCUAUGUUAGCCGGGCGACGGUUGUCCCGGUUUAAGCAUGUAGGCUGAUUGUCCAGGCAAAUCCGGAUAAUCAAGGCUGAGGUGUGAUGACGAGGCACUACGGUGCUGAAGUAACAAAUGCCCUGCUUCCAGGAAAAGCCUCUAAGCAUCAGGUAACAUCAAAUCGUACCCCAAACCGACACAGGUGGUCAGGUAGANGAAUACCAAGGCGCUUGAGAGAACUCGGGUGAAGGAACUAGGCAAAAUGGUGCCGUAACUUCGGGAGAAGGCACGCUGGUGUGUNAGGUGAAGUCCCUGCGGAUGGAGCUGAGACCAGUCGAAGAUACCAGCUGGCUGCAACUGUUUAUUANAAAACACAGCACUGUGCAAACACGAAAGUGGACGUAUACGGUGUGACGCCUGCCCGGUGCCGGAAGGUUAAUUGAUGGGGUUAUCCGUAAGGAGAAGCUCUUGAUCGAAGCCCCGGUAAACGGCGGCCGUAACUAUAACGGUCCUAAGGUAGCGAAAUUCCUUGUCGGGUAAGUUCCGACCUGCACGAAUGGCGUAAUGAUGGCCAGGCUGUCUCCACCCGAGACUCAGUGAAAUUGAACUCGCUGUGAAGAUGCAGUGUACCCGCGGCAAGACGGAAAGACCCCGUGAACCUUUACUAUAGCUUGACACUGAACAUUGAGCCUUGAUGUGUAGGAUAGGUNGGGAGGCUUUGAAGCGUGGACGCCAGUCUGCGUGGAGCCAACCUUGAAAUACCACCCUUUAAUGUUUGAUGUUCUAACGUUGGCCCCUGACCGGGGUUGCGGACAGUGUCUGGUGGGUAGUUUGACUGGGGCGGUCUCCUCCCAAAGCGUAACGGAGGAGCACGAAGGUUAGCUAAUCCUGGUCGGACAUCAGGAGGUUAGUGCAAUGGCAUAAGCUAGCUUGACUGCGAGCGUGACGGCGCGAGCAGGUGCGAAAGCAGGUCAUAGUGAUCCGGUGGUUCUGAAUGGAAGGGCCAUCGCUCAACGGAUAAAAGGUACUCCGGGGAUAACAGGC
rnacentral:rRNA from 1 species